GAAAUUUUAAGUUAAAAAAACUAUUAAUUUUCAAAAUUAAAAUUAAAAUAUAUUAAAUUUCA
rnacentral:tRNA from 1 species